GAGAGUAAGAGACACAGGUUCAGAGAGGCAGCUGCUUGGUGAUCCCGAAGUCCCCGGGAUAAAACUUGGCCAGAGAAACAAAGGCAGAGAUUUUUUUUUUUUUUUUUUUAGUCCAGCCUGUCCUGGAAAGGCACUGUCAUCUCACGCAAUGAAACAUAAUAAGCAGCCUCUCUUUUAGGCCAAGGCCUGGGAGCUCGCUGCAGGUGUACUGGCAGGGUAUGGAGGGCUGGCAGAGGCCAGGUGGCUUUGUCCCCCUGGUGCCUCCUCCUUAGAAGCUGCUCAUUACUGCAGGAGCUGGUGGUGUUAUAUAACAGAGGCUCAGCCUGAUUCCACUAGAGUGAACAAGAGAGAGGAAAAUACCCAAAUAGCUUAAACACACCACAGACCGGGAGACUGUAGGGAGAACCCUUUAGAUUUCGACCGACUAUGCAUUGAAGUCCUUGUGCGCUCCAGACGUCCUAUGAGAUGCUCCUUACAAACACUCGUCCAUGGUCAGGCUGGCCUUGAACUCAUCUCAGUGGUCCAGAAUGCCUUCUACUCUCCACCCUUUGCUUCGGCCUCCUGAGCACCAGCACAGGUGUGUGUGUGCCACACCCACCACCCAGGGUUGACCCACCCUUCUCUUUCUUAUCGACUCAAGAGCAACAAUAUUUACCCAGCAGUAACUGUAAAGCAAAGGAGACACCAGUUGCUAGGGAGAGGUGGAUCCGUGAAGGCUACUAACCCAGACUGAAUCCAGUAUCUGAGAGACCUGCGUGAUGCUGGUGCAGUCCAUCACAGCAGGGAAAUCAUGGCCGCAGAUGCGAGGCAGUUGUCAAUAUCAUCUCCACAGUCAGCAAGCAGAGAGUAGACAGGAAACACAGCCAGGCCAUAAAACCUUCAAGCCUUCCUCAGUGGCCUGCUUUCUCCAGAGGAGUUCUGCUUCCUAAUGGCUACGAACGCUUCCAAAAGAGCGCCACCAGCUGGGGACCAGCUGUUCCAACAUGAGCCUGUGGGGGACAUUUAACAUUCAAGCACACGGGAGACUGCUAGGACAGAAGAAAGCAGAGCGCUUUCUUCAGAUAUGGUGAGCAGGAUGUGAUUUGUCGCUUCUGUCUGCACCGGUUUAACUCAAGAAAUCGUCAUCGCCAGAAUUCAAAUAAA